GCGGGCGUAGUUCAAUGGUAGAACGAGAGCUUCCCAAGCUCCUAUACGAGGGUUCGAUUCCCUUCGCCCGCU
rnacentral:tRNA from 1 species